rnacentral:rRNA from 1 species
UCCGAUUACUAGUGAUUCCAGCUUCAUGGAGUCGAGUUGCAGACUCCAAUCCGAACUGAGACCGAUUUUUUGAGAUUAGCUCCACCUCGCGGUUUGGCAACCCUCUGUAUCGGCCAUUGUAGCGCGUGUGUCGCCCAGGGCGUCAAAGGGCCAUGCUGAUUUGACGUCAUCCCCUCCUUCCUCCCAGCCUACAAAUCACGAAAUGUAUUUUCAUGAUCUUUAGGCUGGGCAGUCUUGUAUGACAUAUCUAACAUACAAUAGGGGUUGCGCUCGUUACCCCACUUAAGGGAACACCUUACGGCACGAGCUGACGACAACCAUGCAACACCUGCUGAACACCCUCGAAGGCAUAUUUGUUUCCAAAUAUUGCAGUUCAGUUUCAAGCCCUGGUGAGGUGCCUCGCUUACCAUCGAAUUAAACCACACGCUCCACCACUUGUGCGGAUCCCCGUCUAUUCCUUUGAGUUUUAAGCUUGCGCUCGUACUUCCCAGGCGGCAUACUUAACGCGUUUGCUUCGACACUGAGGAGGUCGAUUUCCCCAAUGCCUAGUAUGCAUCGUUUACGGCACGGACUACUAGGGUAUCUAAUCCUAUUCGCUCCCCGUGCUUUCGUGACUGAGCGUCAGAAAUGUGCCCACCAAAUGCCUUCGCCUUAGGUAUUCCUCAUGGAUAUCAACGCAUUUCACUACUACACCAUGAGUUCUAUUGGGCCCUCACACUCUCUAGAAAUGCCGUUUCGAACCC